GGGACGAACGCUGGCGGCGUGCUUAACACAUGCAAGUCGAGCGGUAAGGCCUUUCGGGGUACACGAGCGGCGAACGGGUGAGUAACACGUGGGUGAUCUGCCCUGCACUCUGGGAUAAGCCUGGGAAACUGGGUCUAAUACCGGAUAUGACCUGCUCUCGCAGUGGGGGUGGGUGGAAAGAUUUAUCGGUGCAGGAUGGGCCCGCGGCCUAUCAGCUUGUUGGUGGGGUAAUGGCCUACCAAGGCGACGACGGGUAGCCGACCUGAGAGGGUGACCGGCCACACGUGGGACUGGACGACACGGCCCAGACUCCUACGGGAGGCAGCAGGUGGGAAUAUGACACAAGUGGGACGAAAGCCUAGAUGCAGGCGACGCCGCGUGAGGA
rnacentral:rRNA from 1 species